rnacentral:rRNA from 1 species
GAUGAACGCUGGCGGCGUGCCUAAUACAUGCAAGUCGAGCGAACAGACGAGGAGCUUGCUCCUCUGACGUUAGCGGCGGACGGGUGAGUAACACGUGGAUAACCUACCUAUCAUACUGGGAUAACUUCGGGAAACCGGAGCUAAUACCGGAUAAUAUAUUGAACCGCAUGGUUCAAUAGUGAAAGACGGUUUUGCUGUCACUUAUCGAUGGAUCCGCGCCGCAUUAGCUAGUUGGUAAGGUACCGGCUUACCAAGGCAACGAUGCGUAGCCGACCUGAGUGAGUGGUAGGCCACACUGGAACUGGGACACGGUCAAGGCGCCUACGGGAGGCAGCAGUAGGGAAUCUUCCGCAAUGGGCGAAAGUCUGACGGAGCAACGCGGCGUGAGUGAUGAAGGUCUUCGGAUCGGAAAACUCUGUUAUUAGGGAAGAACAAAUGUGUAAGUAACUAUGCACGGCUUGACGGUACCUAAUCAGAAAGCCACGGCUAACUACGUG